rnacentral:rRNA from 1 species
CGAAUGCUGACAUAAGUAACGAUAAAGCGGGUGAAAAGCCCGCUCGCCGGAAGACCAAGGGUUCCUGUCCAACGUUAAUCGGGGCAGGGUGAGUCGACCCCUAAGGCGAGGCCGAAAGGCGUAGUCGAUGGGAAACAGGUUAAUAUUCCUGUACUUGGUGUUACUGCGAAGGGGGGACGGAGAAGGCUAUGUUGGCCGGGCGACGGUUGUCCCGGUUUAAGCGUGUAGGCUGGUUUUCCAGGCAAAUCCGGAAAAUCAAGGCUGAGGCGUGAUGACGAGGCACUACGGUGCUGAAGCAACAAAUGCCCUGCUUCCAGGAAAAGCCUCUAAGCAUCAGGUAACAUCAAAUCGUACCCCAAACCGACACAGGUGGUCAGGUAGAGAAUACCAAGGCGCUUGAGAGAACUCGGGUGAAGGAACUAGGCAAAAUGGUGCCGUAACUUCGGGAGAAGGCACGCUGAUAUGUAGGUGAAGCGACUUGCUCGUGGAGCUGAAAUCAGUCGAAGAUACCAGCUGGCUGCAACUGUUUAUUAAAAACACAGCACUGUGCAAACACGAAAGUGGACGUAUACGGUGUGACGCCUGCCC